AGCAGCCGCGGUAAUUCCAGCUCCAAUAGCGUAUAUUAAAGUUGUUGCAGUUAAAAAGCUCGUAGUUGAAUUUCGGGAUCAAUAUGCUGGUCGUGCCAUUGGUACGUACUAGUAUUAUUGGUUUCUCCUUUCUGUUGAAUCAUGAUGUCAUUAAUUUGAUGUCAUGAGGAAUCAGGACUGUUACUUUGAAAAAUUAGAGUGUUUAAAGCAGGCUCGCGCUUGAAUACAUUAGCAUGGAAUAAUGAAAUAGGAUGUUUGAUUCUAUUUUGUUGGUUUCUAGGAUUGACGUAAUGAUUAAUAGGGAUAGUUGGGGGCAUUAGUAUUCAAUUGUCAGAGGUGAAAUUCUUGGAUUUAUUGAAGACUAACUACUGCGAAAGCAUUUGCCAAGGAUGUUUUCAUUAAUCAAGAACGAAAGUUAGGGGAUCGAAGACGAUCAGAUACCGUCGUAGUCUUAACCAUAAACUAUGCCGACUAGGGAUCGGAUGAUGUUAAUUUUUAAUGUA
rnacentral:misc_RNA from 1 species